AUUGAACGCUGGCGGCAGGCCUAACACAUGCAAGUCGAGCGAGCGGCGGACGGGUGAGUAAUGUAUGGGGACUGCCCGAUAGAGGGGGAUAACUACUGGAAACGGUGGCUAAUACCGCAUACUAUCGGAUAACCCAUAUGGGAUUAGCUAGUAGGUGGGGUAAAGGCACACCUAGGCGACGAUCUCUAGCUGGUCUGAGAGGAUGAUCAGCCACACUGGGACUGAGACACGGCCCAGACUCCUACGGAGGCAGCAGUGGGGAAUAGUGCACAAUGGGCGCAGGGCUGAUGCGGUCAUGCCGCUUGUAUGAAUAAGGCCGGAGGGUGGGAAAGUACUUUCAGCGGGGAGGCGUUACCCGCAGAAGAAGCACCGGCUGACUCCGUGACAGCAGCCGCGGUAAUAC
rnacentral:rRNA from 1 species